rnacentral:rRNA from 1 species
ACGCUCGACACCUACGGAGGCAGCAGUGGGGAAUAUUGCACAAUGGGGGAAACCCUGAUGCAGCGACGCCGCGUGAGCGAAGAAGUAUUUCGGUAUGUAAAGCUCUAUCAGCAGGGAAGAAACUGACGGUACCUGACUAAGAAGCACCGGCUAAAUACGUGCCAGCAGCCGACGGUAAUCUGAGGCGGGCUGGCAAGGC